CAAUAGCGUAUAUUAAAGUUGUUGCAGUUAAAAAGCUCGUAGUUGGAUUUCUGGUAGGAGUGACCGUACCAGACUUGAUUGUCUGUGUAUUGUGUUGUCUCCAGCCAUCCUUGUGGAGAACUUUUCUUGCAUUAAUUUGUAGGGAUUGGGACCCGCAUCGUUUACUGUGAAAAAAUUAGAGUGUUUAAAGCAGGCAAUCGCUUGAAUACAUUAGCAUGGAAUAAUACGAUAGGACUUUGGUACUAUUUUGUUGGUUUGCAUACCAAAUUAAUGAUCAACAGGAACAGUUUGAGGAUAUUCGUAUGAACAUGUCAGAGGUGAAAUUCUUGGAUUUUGAUCAGACGAACUACUGCGAAAGCAUUUAUCAAGGAUGUUUNCAUUAA
rnacentral:rRNA from 1 species